GAGGGUAUAGCUCAGAGGUAGAGCACUGGACUGCAGAUCAAGAAUAUCAGCUUCAGUUCAGCUGCCUUCA
rfam:Pan troglodytes isolate Yerkes chimp pedigree #C0471 (Clint) chromosome 12, whole genome shotgun sequence.